CAGCCGCCGCGGUAAUACGUAGGGGGCAAGCGUUGUCCGGAUUUAUUGGGCGUAAAGAGCGUGUAGGCGGCCAUGCAGGUCCGUUGUGAAAACUCGAGGCUCAACCUCGAGACGCCGAUGGAAACCGCAUGGCUAGAGUCCGGAAGAGGAGAGUGGAAUUCCUGGUGUAGCGGUGAAAUGCGCAGAUAUCAGGAAGAACACCCGUGGCUAAGGCGGCUCUCUAGUACGGUACUGACGCUGAGACGCGAAAGCGUGGGGAGCGAACAGGAUUAGAUACCCUGGUAGUCCACGCCGUAAACGAUGGGUGCUAGGUGUGGGGGGUGUCGACUCCCUCCGUGCCGAAGCUAACGCAUUAAGCACCCCGCCUGGGGAGUACGGCCGCAAGGCUAAAACUCAAAGGAAUUGAC
rnacentral:rRNA from 1 species